ensembl:snRNA U6 U6 spliceosomal RNA
GUGCUGGCUUAGACAGCACAUAUACUAAAAUUUGAACAACAUAGAGAAGAUUAGCAUGGCCCCUGCGAAAAGAUGACACACAAUAAAACCAAAAAAAGUGGUAAAUUUUA